rnacentral:rRNA from 1 species
GAGUGGCGAACGGGGUGAGUAAACACGUGGGGUAACCUGCCCAUCAGAAGGGGAUAAACACUUGGAAACAGGUGCUAAUACCGUAUAACAAUCGAAACCGCAUGGUUUUGAUUUGAAAGGCGCUUUCGGGUGUCGCUGAUGGAUGGACCCGCGGUGCAUUAGCUAGUUGGUGAGGUAACGGCUCACCAAGGCYACGAUGCAUAGCCGACCUGAGAGGGUGAUCGGCCACAUUGGGACUGAGACACGGCCCAAACUCCUACGGGAGGCAGCAGUAGGGAAUCUUCGGCAAUGGACGAAAGUCUGACCGAGCAACGCCGCGUGAGUGAAGAAGGUUUUCGGAUCGUAAAACUCUGUUGUUAGAGAAGAACAAGGAUGAGAGUAACUGUUCAUCCCUUGACGGUAUCUAACCAGAAAGCCACGGCUAACUACGUGCCAGCAGCCGCGGUAAUACGUAGGUGGCAAGCGUUGUCCGGAUUUAUUGGGCGUAAAGCGAGCGCAGGCGGUUUCUUAAGUCUGAUGUGAAAGCCCCCGGCUCAACCGGGGAGGGUCAUUGGAAACUGGGAGACUUGAGUGCAGAAGAGGAGAGUGGAAUUCCAUGUGUAGCGGUGAAAUGCGUAGAUAUAUGGAGGAACACCAGUGGCGAAGGCGGCUCUCUGGUCUGUAACUGACGCUGAGGCUCGAAAGCGUGGGGAGCAAACAGGAUUAGAUACCCUGGUAGUCCACGCCGUAAACGAUGAGUGCUAAGUGUUGGAGGGUUUCCGCCCUUCAGUGCUGCAGCUAACGCAUUAAGCACUCCGCCUGGGGAGUACGACCGCAAGGUUGAAACUCAAAGGAAUUGACGGGGGCCCGCACAAGCGGUGGAGCAUGUGGUUUAAUUCGAAGCAACGCGAAGAACCUUACCAGGUCUUGACAUCCUUUGACCACUCUAGAGAUAGAGCUUCCCCUUCGGGGGCAAAGUGACAGGUGGUGCAUGGUUGUCGUCAGCUCGUGUCGUGAGAUGUUGGGUUAAGUCCCGCAACGAGCGCAACCCUUAUUGUUAGUUGCCAUCAUUCAGUUGGGCACUCUAGCAAGACUGCCGGUGACAAACCGGAGGAAGGUGGGGAUGACGUCAAAUCAUCAUGCCCCUUAUGACCUGGGCUACACACGUGCUACAAUGGGAAGUACAACGAGUCGCGAAGUCGCGAGGCUAAGCUAAUCUCUUAAAGCUUCUCUCAGUUCGGAUUGUAGGCUGCAACUCGCCUACAUGAAGCCGGAAUCGCUAGUAAUCGCGGAUCAGCACGCCGCGGUGAAUACGUUCCCGGGCCUUGUACACACCGCCCGUCACACCACGAGAGUUUGUAACACCCGAAGUCGGUGAGGUAACCUUUUGGAGCCAGCCGCCUAAGGUGGGAUAGAUGAUUGGGGUGAAGUCGUAA